AUUGAACGCUGGCGGCAGGCCUAACACAUGCAAGUCGAGCGAGCGGCGGACGGGUGAGUAAUGUCUGGGAAACUGCCUGGUGGAGGGGGAUAACUACUGGAAACGGUAGCUAAUACCGCAUACCAUCAGAUGUGCCCAGAUGGGAUUAGCUAGUAGGUGGGGUAAUGGCUAACCUAGGCGGCGAUCCCUAGCUGGUCUGAGAGGAUGACCAGCCACACUGGAACUGAGACACGGUCAAGACUACGACGGGAGGCAGCAGUGGGGAAUAUUGCAAAAGGGGCGCAAGCCUGAUGCAGCCAUGCCGCGUGUGUGAAGAAGGCCUUCGGGUUGUAAAGCACUUUCAGCGAGGAGGCGUUACUCGCAGAAGAAGCACCGGCUAACUCCGUGCCAGCAGCCGCGGUAAUUG
rnacentral:rRNA from 1 species